rnacentral:rRNA from 1 species
GAUGAACGCUAGCGGGAGGCCUAACACAUGCAAGCCGAGCGGUAUUGUUUCUUCGGAAAUGAGAGAGCGGCGUACGGGUGCGUAACACGUGUGCAACCUGCCUUUAUCUGGGGGAUAGCCUUUCGAAAGGAAGAUUAAUACUCCAUAAUAUAUUGAACGGCAUCGUUUAAUAUUGAAAGCUCCGGCGGAUAGAGAUGGGCACGCGCAAGAUUAGCUAGUUGGUGAGGUAACGGCUCACCAAGGCGAUGAUCUUUAGGGGGCCUGAGAGGGUGAUCCCGCACACUGGUACUGGGACACGGACCAGACUCCUACGGGAGGCAGCAGUGAGGAAUAUUGGUCAAGGGGUGCAAGCCUGAACCAGCCAUCCCGCGUGAAGGACGACUGCCCUAUGGGUUGUAAACUUCUUUUGUAUAGGGAUAAACCUACCCUCGAGAGGGUAGCUGAAGGUACUAUACGAAUAAGCACCGGCUAACUCCGUGCCAGCCGCCGCCGUAAGAC